rnacentral:rRNA from 1 species
UGGGGAAUAUUGCACAAUGGGGGAAACCCUGAUGCAGCCAUGCCGCGUGUGUGAAGAAGGCCUUCGGGUUGUAAAGCACUUUCAGCGAGGAGGAAAGGUUGGUAGCGAAUAACUGCCAGCUGUGACGUUACUCGCAGAAGAAGCACCGGCUAACUCCGUGCCAGCAGCCGCGGUAAUACGGAGGGUGCAAGCGUUAAUCGGAAUUACUGGGCGUAAAGCGCACGCAGGCGGUUGGAUAAGUUAGAUGUGAAAGCCCCGGGCUCAACCUGGGAAUUGCAUUUAAAACUGUCCAGCUAGAGUCUUGUAGAGGGGGGUAGAAUUCCAGGUGUAGCGGUGAAAUGCGUAGAGAUCUGGAGGAAUACCGGUGGCGAAGGCGGCCCCCUGGACAAAGACUGACGCUCAGGUGCGAAAGCGUGGGGAGCAAACA